rnacentral:rRNA from 1 species
ACAGGUGGUGCGAUGGUUGUCGUCAGGCUCGUGUCGUGAGAUGUUGGGUUAAGUCCCGCAACGUAGCGCAACCCCUACGUUUAGUUGCUAACGCGUGAAGGCGAGCACUCUAGACGAACUGCCGUUGACAAAACGGAGGAAGGUGGGAUGACGUCAAAUCAUCAUGCCCCUUAUGUUCUGGGCUACACACGUGCUACAAUGGCCGGUACAGACGGACGCAAAGCCGCGAGGUGGAGCAAAUCCUAAAAAGCCGGUCUCAGUUCGGAUUGCAGGCUGCAAUUCGCCUGCAUGAAGUCGGAAUCGCUAGUAAUCGCAGGUCAGCAUACUCGCGGUCGAAUACGUUCCCGGGCCUU